rnacentral:rRNA from 1 species
UACAGAGGGUGCGAGCGUUGUCCGGAAUCACUGGGCGUAAAGGGCGCGUAGGCGGCUUGAUAAGCGUGCGGUGAAAUCCCGGAGCUCAACUCCGGGUCUGCAGUCGAUACGGGGCGGACUUGAGUUCGGCAGGGGAGACUGGAAUUCCUGGUGUAGCGGUGAAAUGCGCAGAUAUCAGGAGGAACACCGGUGGCGAAGGCGGGUCUCUGGGCCGAUACUGACGCUGGAGGAGCGGAAAGCGUGGGGAGCGAACAGG